UACGGGGGGGGUAAGCGUUGUUCGGAAUUACUGGGCGUAAAGGGCUCGUAGGCGGCCAACUAAGUCAGACGUGAAUCCUCCAGCUUAACUGGGAACUGGACGUCUGAUACUGGAUGGCUUGGAUUUGGGAGAGGGAUGCGGAAUUCCAGGUGUAGCGGUGAAAUGCGUAGAUAUCUGGAGGAACACCGGUGGCGAAGGCGGCAUCCUGGACCAAUAUUGACGCUGAGGAGCGAAAGCCAGGGGAGCAAACGGG
rnacentral:rRNA from 1 species